ensembl:lncRNA
AUGAAGGAGUCUGGGGUGUGUGGGACGAGAACAAAGAUGAAGGAAGGGGCAAUCACUGUGCUUGUGGGAGGAAGGUGGGUGUGUUUGUGUGUGUAUGUUUGUAUCAGGGCACGUCUGUGUGCGUGUACACGAGCGUCUCUGUGUAUCAGGGCACGUCUGCAUGUGCACCAGCAUCUCUGUAUCAGGGCAUGUCUGUGCAUGUGCACGAGCGUCUCUAUAUCAGGGCACGUCUGUGUGUGUGUGCACAAGCGUCUCUGUAUCAGGGCACGUCUGCAUGUGCACCAGCAUCUCUGUAUCAGGGCACGUCUGUGUGCAUGUGCACGAGCGUCUCUGUAUCAGGGCACGUCUGUGUGCAUGUGCACAAGCAUCUCUGUGUGUAUCAGGGCACGUCUGUAUGCAUGUGCACAAGCAUCUCUGUAUCAGGGCACGUCUACAUGUGCACCAGCACCUCUGUGUGUAUCAGGACACGUCUCUGUGCGUGUGCACGAGCGUCUCUGUAUCAGGGCACGUCUGCUUGUGCACCAGCAUCUCUGUGUGUAUCAGGGCAUGUGUGUAUGCGUGUGCACGAGCGUCUCUGUGUAUCAGGGCACGUCUGUGUGCAUGUGCACAAACGUCUCUGUGUGUAUCAGGGCACGUCUGCAUGUGCACCAGCAUCUCUGUGUGUAUCAGGACACGUCUGUGUGCGUGUGCACGAGCGUCUCUGUGUAUCAGGGCACAUCUGUGUGCAUGUGCACAAGCGUCUCUGUAUUGGCAUGUCUAUGUGCGUGUGCACGAGCAUCUGUAUCAGGGCACGUCUGUGUGCGUGAGGGUCUCUAUCAGGGCACGUCUGCAUGUGCACAAGCGUCUAUCAGGGCACAUCUGUGUGCGUGUGCACGAGCGUCUCUGCAUCAGGGCACGUCUGUGUGCGUAUGCAUGAGGGUCUAUCGGCACGUCUGUGUGCAUGUGCACAAGCGUCUCUCAGGGCACAUCUGUGUGUGUGUGCACGAGCGUCUCUGUUUCAGGGCACGUCUGUGCAUGUGCACGAGCGUCUCUAUCAUGGCACGUCUGUGUGCAUGUGCACGAGCAUCUCUGUCAGGGCAUGUCUGCAUGUGCACAACCAUCUCUGUAUCAGGGCACGUCUCUGUGCGUGUGCACGAACAUCUGUGUAUCAGGGCAAGUCCAUGUGCAUGUGCACGAGCGUCUCUGUAUCAGUGGCCGCCUGUGUGCAUGUGCACAAGCGUCUCUGUGUGUAUCAGGGCACGUCUGUGUGCGUGUGCACGAGCGUCUCUGUGUAUCAGGGCACAUCUGUGUGCGUGUGCACGAGCGUCUCUGUGUGUAUCAGGGCACGUCUGUGUGCGUGUGCAUGAGCGUCUAUCAGUGCAUAUCUGUGCAUGUGCACAAGCGUCUCUGUAUCAGGGCACGUCUGCAUGUGCUCACACGUCUUUGUGUGUCUGUGUGCGCGUGUCCGCAGUUGCCCUGACCUCAGAUUGGCAGACAGGUCCCUCGCCUUCCUUGCCUUUCGUCUCCCAGACUCGUGCCAGGCCCCUUCUCUGUCUUCUGCGUACGGCAUGUUGCCUCAUGACAGACAGUGGGAUGGUGGAAGCUGUCUCAUGCCUCUUGUUCUCCGGGCUGAUUCUGAAAGCACCAGAGUGGCUUGCAAGCCAAUCACUGCAAUCUUGGCAGCCUGCUGGCCUUUCCUGCGGGCAGAGUUCUUUACCAUAA